GACGAACGCUGGCGGCGUGCCUAAUACAUGCAAGUCGAACGCAGUGGGGACGGGUGAGUAACCCGUGGGUAACCUCCCAUCAGAGGGGAUAACACUUGGAAACAGGUGCUAAACCGAUACUGAUGGAUGGAGCAGCGGUGCAUUAGCUAGUUGGGGAGGUAACGGCUCACCAAGGCCACGAUGCAUAGCCGACCUGAGAGGGUGAGAGGCACCACGGGGACUGAGACACGGUCCAGACUCCUACGGGAGGCAGCAGUAGGGAAUAUUCGGCAAUGGACGAAAGUCUGACCGAGCAACGCCGCGUGAGUGAAGAAGGUUUUCGGAUCGUAAAACUCUGUUGGUUGAGAAGCGGUAUCUAAACAGAAAGCCACGGCUAACGACGUGCCAGCCGCCGCGGUAAUUC
rnacentral:rRNA from 1 species